UUCUUUAGGCGUCGACCGGCGAAUGGGUGAGUAACGCGUAUCCAACCUGCCCCUGAGUAAGGGAUAGCCCAUCGAAAGAUGGAUUAAUACCUUAUGGUCUCCUUUGCAGACAUCUAAUUAGGAGUAAAGAUUUAUCGCUGAGGGAUGGGGAUGCGUCUGAUUAGCUUGUUGCGGGUAACGGCCCACCAAGGCAACGAUCAGUAGGGGUUCUGAGAGGAAGGUCCCCCACAUUGGUACUGAGACACGGACCAAACUCCUACGGGAGGCAGCAGUGAGGAAUAUUGGUCAAUGGGCGCAAGCCUGAACCAGCCAAGUAGCGUGCAGGAUGACUGCCCUAUGGGUUGUAAACUGCUUUUAUACGGGGAUAAAGUCAGGGUCGUGACCCUGUUUGCAGGUACCGUAUGAAUAAGGACCGGCUAAUUCCGUGCC
rnacentral:rRNA from 1 species